rnacentral:rRNA from 1 species
CAGCCGCCACGGUAACACGGAGGGUGCAAGCGUUAAUCGGAAUUACUGGGCGUAAAGCGUGCGUAGGCGGUUCGUUAAGUCUGUUGUGAAAGCCCCGGGCUCAACCUGGGAAUGGCAAUGGAUACUGGCGAGCUAGAGUGUGUCAGAGGAUGGUGGAAUUCCCAGUGUAGCGGUGAAAUGCGUAGAGAUCGGGAGGAACAUCAGUGGCGAAGGCGGCCAUCUGGGACAACACUGACGCUGAGGCACGAAAGCGUGGGGAGCAAACAGGAUUAGAUACCCGAGUAGUCCCUGUCUCUUAUAC